UCCCUGGUGGUCUAGUGGUUAGGACUCCAUGCUUUCACUGAUGGGCCCGGGUUCAAGCCCUGGUUAGGGAA